GAUGAACGCUGGCGGCGUGCCUAAUACAUGCCAGUCGAGCGAACAGACGAGGAGCUUGCUCCUCUGACGUUAGCGGCGGACGGGUGAGUAACACGUGGAUAACCUACCUAUAAGACUGGGAUAACUUCGGGAAACCGGAGCUAAUACCGGAUAAUAUAUUGAACCGCAUGGUUCAAUAGUGAAAGACGGUUUUGAUGUCACUUAUAGAUGGAUCAGCGCCGCAUUAGCUAGUUGGUAAGGUAACGGCUUACCAAGGCAACGAUGCGUAGCCGACCUGAGAGGGUGAUCGGCCACACUGUAACUGAGACACGGUCCAGACUCCUUCGGGAGGCAGCAGGAGGGAACCUUCCGCAAUGGGCGAAAACCUGACGGAGCAACGCCGCGUGAGUGAUGAAGUUCUUCGCAUCGUGAAGCUCUGUUAUUAGGGAAGAACAGAUGUGUAAGUAACUAUGCACGUGUUGACGGUACCUAAUCAGAAAGCUACGGCUAACAACAUG
rnacentral:rRNA from 1 species